rnacentral:hammerhead_ribozyme from 1 species
AUCCAGCUGACGAGUCCCUAAUAGGACGAAAUGCGUGUUGAACUAGAU